AGAGUUUGAUCCUGGCUCAGGACGAACGCUGGCGGCGCGCCUAACACAUGCAAGUCGAACGAGAGAUGAGGAGCUUGCUCUUCAGAUCGAGUGGCGAACGGGUGAGUAACGCGUGAGGAACCUGCCUCAAAGAGGGGGACAACAGUUGGAAACGACUGCUAAUACCGCAUAAGCCCACGGCUCGGCAUCGAGCAGAGGGAAAAGGAGCAAUCCGCUUUGAGAUGGCCUCGCGUCCGAUUAGCUAGUUGGUGAGGUAACGGCCCACCAAGGCAACGAUCGGUAGCCGGACUGAGAGGUUGAACGGCCACAUUGGGACUGAGACACGGCCCAGACUCCUACGGGAGGCAGCAGUGGGGAAUAUUGCACAAUGGGGGAAACCCUGAUGCAGCGACGCCGCGUGGAGGAAGAAGGUCUUCGGAUUGUAAACUCCUGUUGUUGAGGAAGAUAAUGACGGUACUCAACAAGGAAGUGACGGCUAACUACGUGCCAGCAGCCGCGGUAAAACGUAGGUCACAAGCGUUGUCCGGAAUUACUGGGUGUAAAGGGAGCGCAGGCGGGAAGACAAGUUGGAAGUGAAAUCUAUGGGCUCAACCCAUAAACUGCUUUCAAAACUGUUUUUCUUGAGUAGUGCAGAGGUAGGCGGAAUUCCCGGUGUAGCGGUGGAAUGCGUAGAUAUCGGGAGGAACACCAGUGGCGAAGGCGGCCUACUGGGCACCAACUGACGCUGAGGCUCGAAAGUGUGGGUAGCAAACAGGAUUAGAUACCCUGGUAGUCCACACCGUAAACGAUGAUUACUAGGUGUUGGAGGAUUGACCCCUUCAGUGCCGCAGUUAACACAAUAAGUAAUCCACCUGGGGAGUACGACCGCAAGGUUGAAACUCAAAGGAAUUGACGGGGGCCCGCACAAGCAGUGGAGUAUGUGGUUUAAUUCGACGCAACGCGAAGAACCUUACCAAGUCUUGACAUCCCUUGACGAACAUAGAAAUAUGUUUUCUCUUCGGAGCAAGGAGACAGGUGGUGCAUGGUUGUCGUCAGCUCGUGUCGUGAGAUGUUGGGUUAAGUCC
rnacentral:rRNA from 1 species